GAUGAACGCUGGCGGCGUGCCUAAUACAUGCAAGUCGAGCGAACAGACGAGAAGCUUGCUCCUCUGAUGUUAGCGGCGGACGGGUGAGUAACACGUGGAUAACCUACCUAUAAGACUGGGAUAACUUCGGGAAACCGGAGCUAAUACCGGAUAAUAUUUUGAACCGCAUGGUUCAAAAGUGAAAGACGGUUUUGCUGUCACUUAUAGAUGGAUCCGCGCUGCAUUAGCUAGUUGGUAAGGUAACGGCUUACCAAGGCAACGAUGCAUAGCCGACCUGAGAGGGUGAUCGGCCACACUGGAACUGAGACACGGUCCAGACUCCUACGGGAGGCAGCAGUAGGGAAUCUUCCGCAAUGGGCGAAAGCCUGACGGAGCAACGCCGCGUGAGUGAUGAAGGUCUUCGGAUCGUAAAACUCUGUUAUUAGGGAAGAACAUAUGUGUAAGUAACUGUGCACGUCUUGACGGUACCUAAUCAGAAAGCCACGGCUAACUACGUG
rnacentral:rRNA from 1 species